GUGCGUCGGACAAUCACCGGAGGACAUCGUCGAAUGGGCGAUAUAAUAUUGUGUAUACUUCCGAAAAACUUAUUCGAUGUAAUGCAAAAAUAUAUUUUUCGCGAAUUCACUUGAAUUUCCAUUGUGAAGCCGGGAAAUCUACAUCUACGUAUAAAUCAAUAGGCGCUUGUCUAUUACGUCGAACUGAUCAAUAUUGCUGAUAACCAAAAAUGUUUCUUAUGUGGUUUUGCGCAAAUGCGCACCGCACUCUAAACAUUCGUUAAUAACGUCACAGGUCGUCUGCCCCAGUCGGAACAACUGAAGCAGCAGCCACAGGCGUAAUACAGACCAAACCCAGCUCUCGCCGCGGAUAUUAUAAUCGGAUACCAAUCACCAUCACAUACAAGGGAUGGCGACGGUGAAUGGAAAUCAAACAGGAAGCGUGAUAACAGAAAUCGUGGAAGAUUUCGCGAACACGAUAAAAU